CUGGAAGAAAAGCCUGGCUGGCUGAUUAGGAGCAGCUGGCUGGCUUUAGGAAUUGGACUUUCUGUCCCUGUGCAGCUCUUUGUGCUCAUUCCAGGCCCGUGUUUGCUACUGGCUGGGGCUGGAAGGGAAGCAGGGGGUCCUUAGUGCUUCUCUGCUGCUGAAGAUCCACAUGGAGCAGCAUCCAAAUCCAACCUCACAGAGACUGAGGCCUUGGGACAGAGGAAAAGUUAAACCAAGCAUCCCUCAGCUGUUCCUGAGUGGAGAGCAAGGCAAGCACUGCACUUCAGGAAGGGAGGAAAGCUGCACAGGAGCUGUCUGAGACUCAGCUCCUAAAUUAAAAACCACCAUUACCGGCUGGAUUUUAGAGAGCUGAUGAGUUAAAUGAAUCACCUGCUGAAGACACCUCGUUCUCCUGACUGCCUGCAGCUGGCUCCUGGGUAAAAUGUGCACCCUGAACACCUGGGGCGAGUUUCAGUUGCUUAAAUAUCCAGC